GUGGGGAAUUUUGGACAAUGGGCGCAAGCCUGAUCCAGCAAUGCCGCGUGCAGGAAGAAGGCCUUCGGGUUGUAAACUGCUUUUGUACGGAACGAAACGGUCCGGGUUAAUACCCUGGGCUAAUGACGGUACCGCAAGAAUAAGCACCGGCUAACUACGUGCCAGCAGCCGCGGUAAUACGUAGGGUGCAAGCGUUAAUCGGAAUUACUGGGCGUAAAGCGUGCGCAGGCGGUUUUGUAAGACAGGCGUGAAAUCCCCGGGCUCAGCCUGGGAAUUGCGCUUGUGACUGCAAGGCUGGAGUGCGGCAGAGGGGGAUGGAAUUCCGCGUGUAGCAGUGAAAUGCGUAGAUAUGCGGAGGAACACCGAUGGCGAAGGCAAUCCCCUGGGCCUGCACUGACGCUCAUGCACGAAAGCGUGGGGAGCAAACAGGAUUAGAAACCCGGGUAGUCC
rnacentral:rRNA from 1 species